GUCCACGCCCUAAACGAUGCAUAUUUGGUGUGGGCAGUUCAUUCUGUCCGUGCCGGAGCUAACGCGUUAAAUAUGCCGCCUGGGGAGUACAGUCGCAAGGCUGAAACUCAAAGGAAUUGACGGGGGCCCGCACAAGCGGUGGAGCAUGUGGUUCAAUUCGACGCAACGCGAAGAACCUUACCUGGGCUCGAACGGCUGGUCAACGCCGAUGGAAACAUCGGUACCCCGCAAGGGGGUCCAGUCGAGGUGCUGCAUGGCUGUCGU
rnacentral:rRNA from 1 species